rnacentral:rRNA from 1 species
CACGUAGGGCGCAAGCGUUGUCCGGAAUUAUUGGGCGUAAAGAGCUCGUAGGCGGUCUGUUACGUCUGCUGUGAAAACCCGGGGCUUAACCCUGGGCUUGCAGUGGAUACGGGCAGACUAGAGUUCGGUAGGGGAGACUGGAAUUCCUGGUGUAGCGGUGAAAUGCGCAGAUAUCAGGAGGAACACCGAUGGCGAAGGCAGGUCUCUGGGCCGAUACUGACGCUGAGGAGCGAAAGCGUGGGGAGCGAACAGG